rnacentral:rRNA from 1 species
ACGACCAUACCCAUUGGAAAACUCGGGAUCCCGUCCGCUCUCCCAUAGAUAAGCCAGUGAGGGCCAGAUUAGUAGUUGGGUCGGUGACGACCAGCGAAUCCCUGGUGUUGUAUGUU